UACGUAGGGUGCAAGCGUUGUCCGGAAUUAUUGGGCGUAAAGAGCUCGUAGGCGGUUUGUCGCGUCUGCUGUGAAAACUCGGGGCUUAACCCCGGGCCUGCAGUGGGUACGGGCAGACUAGAGUGCGGUAGGGGAGACUGGAAUUCCUGGUGUAGCGGUGAAAUGCAUUGAGAUCGGAAAGAACACCAACGGCGAGAGCACUCUGCUGGGCCGACACUGACACUGAGAGACGAAAGCUAGGGGAGCAAAUGGG
rnacentral:rRNA from 1 species